rnacentral:misc_RNA from 1 species
GAAAUGCGAUAAGUAGUGUGAAUUGCAGAAUUCAGUGAAUCAUCGAAUCUUUGAACGCACAUUGCGCCCUUUGGUAUUCCAAAGGGCAUGCCUGUUCGAGCGUCAUUUGUACCCUCAAGCUUUGCUUGGUGUUGGGCGUCUUGUCUCUAGCUUUGCUGGAGACUCGCCUUAAAGUAAUUGGCAGCCGGCCUACUGGUUUCGGAGCGCAGCACAAGUCGCACUCUCUAUCAGCAAAGGUCUAGCAUCCAUUAAGCCUUUUUCAACUUUUGACCUCGGAUCAGGUAGGGAUACCCGCUGAACUUAAGC